CGUGGGUGAUCUGCCCUGCACUCUGGGAUAAGCUUGGGAAACUGGGUCUAAUACCGGAUAUGACCGCAGCAUGCAUGUGUUGUGGUGGAAAGAUUUAUCGGUGCAGGAUGGGCCCGCGGCCUAUCAGCUUGUUGGUGGGGUAAUGGCCUACCAAGGCGACGACGGGUAGCCGACCUGAGAGGGUGACCGGCCACACUGGGACUGAGACACGGCCCAGACUCCUACGGGAGGCAGCAGUGGGGAAUAUUGCACAAUGGGCGGAAGCCUGAUGCAGCGACGCCGCGUGAGGGAUGAAGGCCUUCGGGUUGUAAACCUCUUUCAGCAGGGACGAAGCGUGAGUGACGGUACCUGCAGAAGAAGCACCGGCUAACUACGUGCCAGCAGCCGCGGUAAUACGUAGGGUGCGAGCGUUGUCCGGAAUUACUGGGCGUAAAGAGUUCGUAGGCGGUUUGUCGCGUCGUUUGUGAAAACCCGGGGCUCAACU
rnacentral:rRNA from 1 species